CUACGGGUUGCUCCAGCAGGGAAUAUUGCACAAUGGACGGAAGUCUGAUGCAGCGACGCCGCGUGGAUGAUGAAGGCCCUCGGGUUGUAAAAUCCUGUUCAGGGGGACGAGGAAGGACGGUACCCUUGGAAUAAGCGUCGGCUAACUACGCGCCAGCAGCCGCGGUAAGGCGUAGGACGCAAGCGUUAUCCGGAUUUACUGGGCGUAAAGCGUCUGUAGGCGGAAUGGUAAGUUGGACGUGAAAGCUCCGGGCUCAACCCGGAGAGGUCGUUCAAUACUGCCAAACUAGAGGGCAUCAGAGGAGCGUGGAAUUUCCGGUGUAGCGGUAAAAUGCGCAGAUAUCGGAAGGAACACCAAUGGCGAAGGCAGCGCUCUGGGAUGAACCUGACGCUAAGAGACGAAAGCUAGGGGAGCGAACAGGAUUAGAUACCCUUGUAGUC
rnacentral:rRNA from 1 species